CCUCCAGCCGCCUCACGCCCGUUCGCCGGACGCGGGAAGGUGCCGCCCGAGUGUGCUGCUCGUCGUCGCCAUCCAACCAAUCCGGCCGGAACGGCUCGUGACACCAAGCUCACAAGGCAAAUGACCAGCCAUCUAUGAAUCUUGAAGACGGUUUGCCACCCCUGUCCAAUCAUGUCAGGGGGCCUUCACAGCACACAUAUAUUUUAGACAAGACAGCGACUUUACCUACACCAAUGAAGAAGAGAGUUCAGGAGAAAGUAGAAGAAAUUGGAUCUAGUUUUCCUAUAUAUGUGAAGAAAAUGACCAAAACCUCUAUUGAAGGCACCAAGAGCAGUAAUAGAGGAAGACGGAAAUGUCCUGUCGUGACUUUUUGCAAGGAAUUUGCUUCGGCAUGGCUCCCCAACAAGAAAACAGAAAUUUUCCUUCAGGUAGAGGGCAAUACGGAGCCAUGGUCUACCAGCUUCAAAGUUGAAGGUGUGGGACGUCCUGACAAAAAGAGUUGGAUUUACAGCGGGUGGAAGGAGUUUGUUAAGGACAUUGACAUGAACGUAGAGGAUGUGUGUCUCUUUGAAUUGAAAGAGAAGAAAGGCCGGACAUUGAUGGUCCAUCUGAUUCGGCUGUCAGACAUUUAGAUUUGUGUUUUCUUAUUUAUGUAUGGUCAGUAUUUAUUUUUUAUUUUUUAUGUAUGGUUCAUCUACACGACUUUGUGAUCCAUGCUCUACUAUGCAUUUGAGCUGAAUGAA